rnacentral:rRNA from 1 species
GAAGAAGGCCUUCGGGUUGUAAAGCACUUUUGUCCGGAAAGAAAUCCUGAGGGCUAAUAUCCUUCGGGGAUGACGGUACCGGAAGAAUAAGCACCGGCUAACUACGUGCCAGCAGCCGCGGUAAUACGUAGGGUGCGAGCGUUAAUCGGAAUUACUGGGCGUAAAGCGUGCGCAGGCGGUUUGUUAAGACCGAUGUGAAAUCCCCGGGCUCAACCUGGGAACUGCAUUGGUGACUGGCAAGCUAAAGUAUGGCAGAGGGGGGUAGAAUUCCCACGUGUAGCAGUGAAAUGCGUAGAGAGAUGUGGAGGAAUACCGAUGGCGAAGCAGCCCCCUGGGCCAAUACUGACGCUCAUGCACGAAAGCGUGGGGAGCAAACAGGAUUAGAUACCCUGGUAGUCCACGCCCUAAACGAUGUCAACUAGUUGUUGGGGAUUCAUUUCCUUAGUAACGUAGCUACGCGUGAAGUUGACCGCCUGGGGAGUACGGUCGCAAGAUUAAAACUCAAAGGAAUUGACGGGGACCCGCACAAGCGGUGGAUGAUGUGGAUUAAUUCGAUGCAACGCGAAAAACCUUACCUACCCUUGACAUGGUCGGAACCUUGGAGAGAUCUGAGGGUGCUCGAAAGAGAAC